CGUAGGCGGAUUGGAAAGUUGGGGGUGAAAUCCCGGGGCUCAACCCCGGAACGGCCUCCAAAACUCCCAGUCUUGAGUUCGAGAGAGGUGAGUGGAAUUCCGAGUGUAGAGGUGAAAUUCGUAGAUAUUCGGAGGAACACCAGUGGCGAAGGCGGCUCACUGGCUCGAUACUGACGCUGAGGUGCGAAAGUGUGGGGAGCAAACA
rnacentral:rRNA from 1 species